AUGGAAGAGAAAUCAUAAUUAUAUGUCAACAUUAAUAUAUUCAACUCUAUUUGAUUAUUUUCAAGAACUAUUUAUCACCCGACGGAGCGUGAAAAGGAGGGGAGAGGGGGGGAUUUUUUUCGCUUUUAUCAACUUCACGUUUUCAGACAUUUAUUUAAAUAGAUCGUGUAGAUGCCGGAAAUAGGGUGAAAACGAAACGGCGGCGCCGUUAAAUUCCCCGGCACGUGCGAAUUACGUGCGGAGUACGUUUUUCCGACGAUAUAUAUUUUUCGUGACUCGGAAUGUAAUAAAAUUGAGAUCCCGCGCGUCCGCAGGUCUGAAUAAAAGGGUCGCGGCCACGCAGCAAUUGGCGAGCCGACCUAUCCAAUGUCUAUACCUAUGUCCGUGGCGUUUCGCGCCGUGUCGAGUUUUUUUCAAUGCACAUGCGACCGCACGUGCGACAAAGCCGCAUAAUGCAACCCGUCACCGGCCGCACUCUCUCUCUCUCUCUCUCUCUCUCUCUCUCUCUCUCUCUCUCUCUCUCUCUCUCUCUCUUUCCUCCGCUGCGCGUGCAGCAGUUGACGUUCUCACGCGCGAGAAUGCCACGUUCUUUCGCAUGACGACGCGACGUCUACACGCUUUUCGCGUUUCCGCCCGUCGGAUCGGAUUUUCCAUAUGCAUCGCCGGGGAAUAUCGUAAGGACGAAUACGUACGCGACGAGGCGGCGAGGGGAUGCGGGGGAAAGAGGAGCAGGAGGAGGAUGGGGUAGAAAACUCACGCCGAGGGAGGGAUCGAUCGAUGCGCUCUCGCCGGUUCGCCCGGAAACUCCGUCCAGAAAUAAGCCGGCGAGGGAAGAAGACGACGACGACGACGACGCGAUGGGGUGGUGUGCGACUACGGCGACGGCGGUUUUAAAUGACAACUCAUGCGAGGAUUCGAUCGUCAAGGACACGCCGGCGGUUUUAUUUUCUCCUUUUAGGGUUUCUAAGGCUCCCUUCCCCCCCCCCCCCGAUUCCGUUCCCUCGAUUCACUUCCGAAACGGAUUAUUUAUUCAUGUAACGUGCUUGCAGUAUCGAUUGAUAUUUAGGCUCCCCGGAGUCGGUGAACCUAAGGAGAAUCUAAUGAUGGAAUAAAUAAUUGAAGUAUCUUUUUAAUUUCUUAUUAAUCACUUUCCUUUUUAACCAGCGAAUCUCGGCGUGUUUCUAUGCAAAAUAAUUAUCAGAUUAGGAUUAGACAAUGAAAUAAUGUGAUAAUUGCGUCUCAGUUGCGCAUUUUUAUAAUUUAUGACGGUUCGACAGCUGCAGUUAUUUGUCACAAUUAUUUACUGUUGUUAUCAUUAUUAUAAUCAUAUAUUUUAUUGUUACUUUAUCAGUGUUGCAUAUAUUAAUAUUGUAUUUGGAUUAAUUUCAUCAUUUGUAAUCAGUAUUAUUUUGAGUUUAAUUUUAUCAUUCGUAAUCAGUGCGCGCUCAUUAUCUCGAAAAAUGUGCAUACUACUAGUGGUAUUGUAUCACUCUUCUCCCCCCUUCUCUUUCUCUUUCUCUUUCUUCCUCGCAACAAUUCUUAGAAUUAUAUCAAACUUGAAGUAAACUUCUUCUCCCAUCAAACAAACUCGUUGAAUUCUCAUUAAACAUUUCUCCUGCAUUUUGUAACUAUAUGUGCUUCGGUUGUAUAUUAUUUAUAUCUUACAUCUAUUUAGUACGUUACCAGCAGUCGCAGCUUUCCCCACAACUUACAUCUCGAAAUAAAUAUUUUCUUCCACUCGAAGUCACCGAAUUUCUCGUGCACUUUACCUCCCUGCAUUUCACUGCAUUUCGUGAUUGCAUGUAAUAGUCGUGCGUUAUAUGUGUGAUGUUAUAUACGUGACGCUCUUCGUCGCGGCACUCCAACAACGCGUCGUCGUUCCAAGAACGAAAUGGCCCAUCGUAAUUCCCCGAUUAUAGCGCGUUCGUCCAAACGGCUGAGCGCCGUGGAUCAAAUCGGCGACUUUCAGGUUUCUGGAGCACUUGGACGCACCGUUUUAAAGGUCGGCGCCCUGUUCUCCCCCCUGGCGCCCUGUUCUCCCCCCUGGCGCGACUAACUUAUACGCUCGUCGCUCGAUAUCCCGAAGCUGUUGUUAGGUCGGGCUUGAGGAGACUUCUCGAUGAACGAAAAUUGCAGCACAAUCCACUCGCCGUCACGGUAAGAUAGCUCUUGUUAAGGAUGAAUUGAUGAAAAUUAUGCAAUCGGUAACUCAACGAGAAUGCGCCUUUCUUCCCUGGAGGAUCUCGUCCGGACUGGAAUAAUUUUGUCUUACGAAAGAAAACGAGCAAGAUGUAGCCUGAAUUAUAAAUGCAAUGUUCAAUCUCAGUUUUAAACGGAAAUGUUUUAGACGUCAACAACUUUUUAAGCACGCUAUUAAAAUAGUUUUCUCACAGAUCAAUCUUGAAGAGUGAAAAUUCAGAAUAAAAUAUCAUUCCUCGUUUAAUUUCAAAUAAACUUUUAAUAGGCUUGACAAAGUUUAACAGACUUCUAAUUCAAAGUUCAGUUAUAAAGAUUUAAAUUCUUUGAAGUAGUAAUGUAUUGUAAUCUUCUUCUUGUCUUCCAACAAAAUAGAUUUAAUAUGAUAAUAUUAUAAGUAGUACAGAAUUUCAUGUAUAAAUUAUGAAAUAAAAAAUAUUUUCUUAGAAAACUUUUUUUAUAAAUGUUUAAAUUAAAUCUUGUACGUGAAAAUCCUAUUAUAAGAUGUGAAAAAAGAGAUCAAUUUUCAAAAAAUUAAUAGUUUUAUAAUACUCUAUCGCUUUUUGUUAAAAAGAAAGUUUAUGUCAAACCAGUUAAAGUCUAUAAAUCUUGAACGAAGGGUUUCGUGAAUGUGUCUUUCAUUCUCACUUUUAGGUUCAUGCGACCGUCACUUUUGCCUGACCCUACUCCCGACAACGUGUGAAAGACUCGAGAGGCACUUCGAGCCGACGACGACCGAACUAUUGAUAGUACUACCAACGUGGCCUUUAAGCGAUUCGUCUUAGCCCCGCUUUCUUUUUCAGGCGCGUCUAUUUGACUUUCAACGUGGGCACGAACAACGUGCGCCCACUCGCGUCCUCGUCGCCGUAGAUUCUCCAGUUUAGCUUGAGAAUUCCAAUUAAUUGGAGCUUGACGCAAAAAAUCGCGCCUCUAUACCUCACUGACAGAUGCAUAAUACCCAUCCGUUCGAAUCGACCUAGUCGUGAUGCAAUGCAGCUAACGGCUAACGAGCUGCAAGAGACAUUUCUAUAGAACUAUGCUUCGUAAUACCAAUGCAGGACAACAAGAUCUCGUAUUUCAAGAAUAGAUCUAUUAAUUAUCUGAGAGAUUACUCUCUAACUUAAGAAAGAUAUGUAUUGCUUAUUGUGAAAUACCUCUGAAAGCACUUUAUUUAAAACGUUAGAAAGCUAUUAUUAUAUUUUAUGUAUGAGAGAGAGAGAGAGAGAGAGAGAGAGAGAGAGAGAGAGAGAGCGCAAUUUUGUUAUUAUUUUUACGGCGAAAACGUUUUACAUACUUGGAUUUGCAGCAAAAUGUUGCUUAUAUUGAAGAAAAAUAUAACAUUUUAAUGAGGUCUUAGGAGAGGAUUUAGGCAAUGGCAUUCAGCAAGUCUCCCUUAUCUCUGUGUAAGGAAUACUUUCAAAAUACUUUUUUAAAACACAUUUUUAAAAUAAAAUAAAACUGACGAUUGUUGUGGUGUAUUCAUUGUGGUCGUAUAAUAUAUUGUACGUUUUUGCAUCGGGAAAAAAUAUAUGCACAAUAUAUGGAAAAUCAAUUUUCUAAAUUACUUGAAUGCGGAAAUUUAUUGGUAAUUCCGAUGAAGCAUGAAAUUGCCUUUGGUAUGUUAUUCUGCCGGUUGGAACGUAAAUUGCACUUCAGUCUAACCAGUCCCGAGUUAAGUACGUCUGGCGCAUAAACGUAUUAAGCGAUUAAACGCAUUUAAGAUUACAAGCAAGGAUUAAUAAAAGCAAGAAAUAAAUAAAAAUAAAAACUUAGAACAAAAAAAAUAUAAUAAAUAAUGUCUAUAAGAACCGGUAUAGCUUGCUCACGUAAAGAUAAGAUUUAUUGUUACAUAAAUAUCAUUGAGUAAUUAUUACAAAAUUUUCAUAAAAUUUCCACUCGUUAUUAGAUUCUCUUCGCUUAUACAUAGAUACUAAGUAUAAAAACCUGCAAUAAGGCAAGACGUGUACUUUAAUAAUGUAAUAAUUUUGACUCAUUAAUAGUUGUGCAAUAAUAAAGCUAAUUAAGUUCCACAUUUUAUUGACAAAAUUUAGAAAGAAAGGUGAAAAUUUUGGCUAAAACAUAAACAUAAGAAAUUGAUUUUAAAAGGUACUAGUAAGCGUUAUUAAUUAUACAUUGUAUUGUUGAUUAAUAACGCAUGAUAUAGUAUGCACAUUGUCAUUAUUAUCAAUCAUUAAUUAAUGUCAAUAUUCAUAAUACUACUAACUAGCAUGUCAAUCGAGUAGAAAAUUAAAUUAAAAAUGCAAGGGAUUGAGAAAGCAAAGGAUCUAAUCACCAGCGAUAAACAUUGGCAACAACAGAGGAAACGCGACAAGAGCGUACGUUGUUAAACCGCGAACUCAAUCACGAAAAUUCACCGUUGGCCCCACCGAAACGAGUUGUGUACACGUUUCGGCGUAAUUACGCUCCCCGAUAUUGUAUUCUUGGUCGCAUUAGCAGCUGUGAUUUUCGAUAGGGAGUAUGCCGCGCACACAAGAGAGCGCGAUCGAUAGUUACAAUAUGGUUGCUGUACACAUGCAUCGCGCGAUACAUACGUUGGCUUAACACCGAGCAAACUUCUCAAUUAGUACCCUCUUUCCUCGUAUUAAAGAUGGAGUACAAUUUAUUUGUUCCAUGCGCGCAAAAUUAAUUAUUAACUGCAGACAGCGCGAUAUCGUAAACGGAAUUGUCGCCUCGUUUCCGCGAGUAUCGUGUCCCGAGGGCAUUAAAAUUACACGGAUAAAUUCGGCGAAAUGAGCAGUAGUUGUAAUUUUGCAGACAAUUAACAGCGUUUUCUAGAACAAGCUUCGUUUUGUACUAGAAAGUGCCUUCGAAGCAAAUGAAUGUCUGUUAAUGUCGUAUAAACAUGAAGUAAAUCCUAAUAUAAUUAGAAAGAGAAAUUGUUGCACAAAAUUCCAGAACAUUAUUUCGCGAAAUAUCGCGAAUAUACAUUCGUCUGAGUAAAAUGAUUAAGCCUUGUUGUUUCACACCGGUAUAAUAAUUUCCUCUACAGUGCGUAAUUUUUAAUAAGUCUAUCUAAGUGAAAAUUGUAGCUGCAUAAAAAUAAAACGAUGCCUUCUAAAUCUCAUAGAGUGAAAAAUCAUUCGAAAAAAUUUGCACAAGCUUGAUUUUCACUCUUUUAAAGAGCGACAAUAUAUUAAUUUAUAUAAAAAGAGAUAAAUACGUAAGUUAUAAAGAAUACAAUGCAACUGUAUUACUUUUCAAGGUAGUGCAAGUUUUUAAUACAAAAAAAUUUAUGACACUAGAAAUAUAAAUUCAAUAAUGUCAAAAUAUAAGUAACAAAAGAAUAAUUAUGAAAACAAUGUUUUUUUUAUAUUAAUAUUUCAACACAUUUUCUAUUUCGAAAAACCUCAACACACAUGUUGCGGAACAUAUAUAACAUAACGUCUUUACGCUUAUGUGCAAAAUGUAUUAUGUAGAACAUUCGUGUUAUAGAAUAAGAAGGUUCCUCGUUCGAGACGUUUUAAUAUUAAAACAAUCAGCGGAAGGGCGCGCCUUCUGAGAGAGACGUGAUGGGUUGGUCGCGCUUGUUUACCGAUAGUUCGACAGGAAGUUGAAGUAGCGCAUACUUUAGCGUGGCAAAGGCAUCGCGAGAGAGCUACCACAGAUGUGUCGAUAGAUCCGCGUGUUCAUAACCGCGAGUGAGCAUACAAACGAGCGAGCGAGCGAGCUUCCUCGUUGCCGCAAGAGAGACGACGACGAUCCGGAGCUACGGCCCUGGAAAAUUGCUCCGCUUCGGUCGAGAGAAAGAGAGAGAGAGAGAGAGAGAGAGCGACAGAAACGUAAAGGGGUGGUUGCCGUGUGCCGCUGCCGGUGUCUAUUAAUGUCGCGGGCCUAUUUCCGGAUAUAUCUCGUGGUUGCCGUGCGAAAAUUUACCUCCCUCUCGCGCGAAACGGAAAAUCGAUCGAUACCCGCGUGCCCGCGGGUCGAACACGGGGUGAAGAUGGAACGCGAGCGCGAACGAGUGCCGCGUCGAUUCGGUAAUGAAAAAUAAGAAACAAAAGACGACGAGUGCCAAAGAAGAGCGUAGAUUCUCUCUCGCAGAAAACGGCACUUUAGAUAAGAUUGCUAUUUCCGUGGUGCAUUCCGAAAGUCAGCGACUGUGCCGUCUUGAUUCCUAAUUUUAGUAAUUAAUGCGUGGCGUAGUGUUAAUCACAUAAUCUAAAAUCAUUUAUAAAUCGAACGUCGCAUUUUUGUCGUUCAAAUUGAAAAUAUUAUAUUUAUUUUGAAUUUUAAUUAAAUAUCUUAAUCGUUUCCUUGUUAUACCUCACAUCGCAUAAAUAAUGAAGAAUAGAGCAACAGUUAUAUAUUACACAUCAUCAUAAAUCACACGCAUAUAUUAAAGAUACUAAAACAAUAUCUUUAAUCAAGGGAAGUACAUUUUCUUUUUAAUAUAAUUUGUAAUAUAGAAAUGAAAAUUUCAUAAUGCAUAAGCUUCAUACCGUAAAACGUAGCAUUUGCAUAAUGCAUCAGCUGAAGAUUCUUUUAUUCAUGGCUUUCCGUCGUCUUGCCAUUUUCAACUCCAGCUUCGUCUAUUUUUAUUUACAUUUAAGCUUUCAUUUCGUCAUACGGAUUAAUUUUGGGGCGGUAUAGCGAUAUUACAUGUAUAUAAAUGUAGCGUUUUAGACUGACGGCGUACUUUACAAGCGAGACUUAUAGACUAUAGACGAGCCAUCCAAUCUAUCGAUAGAUGAAAGACGCGAUUUCCGGUAUCGUAUAGCACUGGAUAAACGCUCAUGCUGCGGGAGCUUAAGAUACACGAACGGUGCGCGCGGGUAUAUCGGAUAAAUGGACAAAUUGCUCGAUUGCAAGUCGCAGCACGGCCGACCGAUCGAUGCCGCUGUGAAGAUUUCACAGUUACAGGAUGUAUCGCGAGCGAGAUAUCAAUUUUAUCCCGCCGCAAUCGCGAGUACACUUUGUGAAACGUAAUAUUGCAUUAGAUCAUCAAGAGACAUUCCUGAGAUAGCGUCAUGCGGUUAAUUCAUUACGUGAAUAUAUACGAUGCAGUGCAGCAACUGGAUAUACAACGAAUGACAUAAUUCGCUUGAAGAAAUCGCGAUGUCGAUUUGAGGGCCGUUAAUCCGGGGGAUGGAUAGGUGACGAAAUGGGACACGACUGAAGUCGAGUCGCGGUAUCUCAGAGAUCUGAAAUGGAAAAUCACGAGGGAAGGUACGCCGCCGUCUACAACAACGUCUUGAGCCGUUUAUUUCAAACGUGAUAUAUGUGAGCCGUUGAAAAUACUUCGAAAUAGAUAUAUCCGCAAAAUGCAUCCGUAUUAUUUAUAUAUUUUUUUUUUAUUUAUUGAAAUAUGACUUUACCGUACAUAUCAUUCGACGGAGACACAUAAAUUCAAUAAAUCCAAAAUCGUUUUAUUGUAUUAAUUCUAUUCCUUUCUAAAAACUACAAUUUUUGCCAGAAAAUUUGCUUGUGUUACAUUUGUUUAAAUUUUGUGUAUUUUUAAUUUAUAAAAGAAAAAGUUAAAUAAACAUUAAAAGGAAUUAAUAUAAAAAAAUAUACACGUAUUAUUAUAUAUUGUAUUCUUGUAUUCAAAAUACAAAGAAGCGAACAAAUUUUAUCUUUCAUUGAAAUUGGGUCUUGCUUCAAUAUCAGUUAAAUUAAAUCAACCCAACCUACAAAAAAUGAGAUAUUAACUUGAAAAUAAAGAUUACAAAAGUGAAACACAUAAUUCCGUGUAUAUCUAUGGCCCUGUCAUAUGGUAUAAUAUCAUAAAAUGGUGAAUCUUUGGACGGAGAGUAUUAAUGUAAGAAGUUCCUCCAAGAAGUUCCUACCACGAAAAACAAAGCUGAUCGGUAAGACAUCAUCUUACACGUUAUUUGUCCUCUCUCAUUGUAUACGCUUCUGAUACUUUUGAAGUAUAUCUCGUGUCAUCUGAGCUCCCUCGGCGAUGUCAUUCGGAGCAAUGACUUACAACGCGCGCAUUCCUUUGAAGUGUUUGCCUAUGUGUUAUUUAUUCCUCGUCCCACGUACCCCCGCGUGUACGUCUUGGGGUCACAACUCGACCGAAUUCUCGUUCUUUGUCGUCCGCGCAUAGGAGAUAAUACAAAAAGAUCCCUCGGGUGAUGUCUCACCUAAAUAAUCCCUGCAGUCUCCCCGGCGAGGAUCAAGAAAUACCUCGUUAAAAAUCACAUAAUUAACUGCACACUAAUGUCAUACGCCAAUAUUUUAUUAUUCGCUUUUAAUUCGUCUAUCUAUUUGUUUAGAGACAACUAUAACGAAGCUAUGAGUCUAUCUUCCCGUCUUUGAUACCGUCUAUCAAGCAAGAUUUACAUUUAAAUUUCUGCAGGGGCUUUAGACGACGUUGAUGCGUGUCUUCCGUAUGCGUACAUCUCUGAGAUAUCAUUAAUUCUGAUUAUCCAUAUGGAAUCGACCAAUUGACGUCUGACCUACAAUCUCGUAAUUCACUCAAUGCGUUUCAGCUCGAUUUAAUCUCUGUAAUCAAUCAUGUAAAAGAAGUCGAUACAAUUAGAUGAUGAAAGGUCUCUUAGACCGCUUCUUUUUCUUUUUUUAGAAUCCCUUUAAAAAGUUUUUUAAAUUUAUAUACUUAAUUAUCUAAUAACACAAAAAAUUUAAAAAAAUUUUAUGUUAAAAUUAAUGUUUUAUCCAUUUUGCGUACAAAUAAAAGAUAAAUUUUAUAAAGUCACUUCAUACAUCCCAUGUUAAACUUAACUCGCUCAAUAUCAAACAACAUUUAAUUCAAUCAACAUCUACAGAACAAGAUUGCCUUGUAUUUUUUUUUAUCGCUUUCAAAUAGUGUAUCAAUAUAAAAUUAAUCUGAAGAAAAGUUGAGAGAAAGAAAAGCCGCAUAAAAUUGUUUUAUGGAAAAUUGUCUCGCCUCGGAAGAUAUUCUCUUGAAAAAACGGCUAGUUAUUCGAGAGAAGAUGAAGAAAGAAAAAGGGCAGACAGCGUGAAUCGUCGAGUAAAGAACGAAUAAAAGAUUGCCAGCUGACUCGCGUCUGUCGCGUCUGAAAUCACCGCCUCGCCGACGAAGAAAUUAUUGGCCAUGCGGCCGAUAAAAUUGAGCCGCUCCCUCCCCCCUUGCUUCUUUCACGCUCGAAUGCUUCGAUCCACGGCAAGACCGGAUAUCGAUCCUUGAUUCUUGUUCUGAGCAUUUCAACGACUUCUGUAUAACUCGAGAGACUUAACUGUGAGUAUAUAUUAGGCAAUAUUUAAAAUUUAAUGCACAAAAUAUCGAAAAGAAAAUGUAUCUAUUCAAUAACUGUCAUUGGAAGAGCCUCGGUUUGCUGACGCCCGAGACCUACCAACUAUUGCGUAGUCUAAUUUGAAAGUCUAACUAAAAGGUCAAAUUUAUCUUUUCUAUAGAGUAGAGAAUUUUGAAUUUUGAUAAGUUCAGACUUUUUCACAGAAAACGUGCAGAAAUCUCUUCAUUUAUUAUUAAUCUGACAGCUAGCUGAAAUAAAUAAAUUAUUCCGUAUAAAUCGGACUGAUAAAAUCUGGUGAAAUAUGUAUUUCCAUAUUUAUAGAAUUGAAAAUAAAAACUUGUUUAAAAUUAUUAAAACAAUUAACAAUUCUCUUUUUUUUUACACAAAGGAUAUAAACUCAAUGUAUUAAUUCAUUCGACACGUAUUUUCCGCUUAUUACCAUUUACGUUCAAUACAUCAAAGUGUUAAUUAUUCCAUCGCAAUAAUUUAUUGGCAAUUUUAAUCAUUAGUUAGAUCCAAACGAUUUUUAUAAAAAUAGAUAAAUUUUAUUUUAACUUUAUUUUUCAAAAUAAAUUCUCAUAAAAAUUUUACAGACUCUCUUCCAUAAAAACGUCCUUUCUUAAGUGUAGAUGUAUUUCGCCUCGAAUCAAUGUCUAAGCACCGAUACUGGGUCAUCGCGGCACGGUUCGAUGAACGCGAUGUUCACAUAAGGCCGGUUUCUUAAGCUCGUGAAGAGCGCCUAAGCGUACUGAAUACCGAUGAGGCCUUCGCAUUGUCAAGUGACGUUCCAGUUCCGCUUACGCAUUUUUUUUUUCAUCCGUAUACGACAGAAAAAAAAGAGAGAGGGAGAAAGGAGAUGUUAGAGAGAAACAUUUCACGUGCCACACGUCUUACGUAGUCAAUCCGUUCGGUCAGUAAAUAAAUUGUUCGAGCCAAGAGAAAUCGAUAAUUCACCAACUUGCUUCAAGGUACAGCGUUUCAUAUUUGCAUUUGAACUUUUUCAUAGCGAUAUUAAAAAGUUAUUUCACCUUAUAAAUAGCGUAACAUGGAACAAUUGCAGGUUGACAUUUAAGAUGCUCGUCAGAAGGAGAGUAGUAGGCUAAGUGCAUAAUUUGCGAAAUAACGUAGUUCAAAGCACAAGAACAAAAUACAUAAUUAACAAGUCCCUAAAUAAAGGAUCUCCCUGCUAAAGUAGAGAAAUACGGACUCAUAAAUUAUGGACUUAAGAUCGUCCAUCUACCAACAAGUCGUUCGGCGCUAACUUUAAGUAAAUUCGCCUUUUCUCAGCCGUUCACAAGAUACAGCUAUAAUCUAAAAAGGGACAGGACGGACUGCCUAAGCCCGGAUUUACUUUAUUCAACUGUCGGCGCACUGCCAGAGCCCUCAUUCUACUCUUAAUUCAAAACGCGCCGCAAAUACCGUACAGCAGGAAACUGCGCGCCGUGUUUCAAUGCUACGUCAUUAACCGUUGGAAAGUGGUCCCAUCGCUCCCGCACCUCUUUGUUCACCAGUGUGAUUAAACUUCGUCCCGGCGUUACUUUUAUGCGCCGUAGUCGUUACGCUCUCGCUCUCGAUUGUCGCGUGUAAGAGCAGCAGGUUCGCAAAUUCCGGCCCUACGCUCGCCCGAUUACAAUCAAGAAUAUUCGCGCGAGAGGAUUAAGUGUUCUGGAACUAACAAACCGCAACAAAACGCGAUCCUUUCUCUCUUACUGUUGUAAGAAAAUAUACACUUUACAAAGCUAAUAAUGCGAUCGCAAUUUACGUACUUCAAACAAAAUUUUUCAUUUUUAUCGUGCAUUUAUUCCUCUUGUACAAUUUAGAAACUCCCAACGAAGCAAUAAUUGUGUAUUUGUAUUGUUUUUAUGUAAAAAAGGGGGUAAAAGGUAAAACAAGAGCGAAUUUAUUAAAACCAAGCGAUUAAUAUUUUAAACUGACAUGAGAAAAUCAAGAUCAUAUACGAUAUCAAUCCCUCAAGGGCGCGUAACAGCAAUUUGAUAGCGUUUCCGCCCCUUCCCUCUGUGAUCAUUUCGCGUCCAAUUAUUUCGCGGAGGCAACGUGCGCCGCACCUCGUUACGGUCUAAAAUCGGGGAAACAGCGAAUAAGUGGCGCAGCGUGCAGAAAGAGAGA